rnacentral:lncRNA from 1 species
CAUUCCCCUCCCACCCAGGGCAUGGGCGGCAUCGGCGAAGCCAGCGAGACGCUUGUCCUACAGCGCCUCCUCCUGGACAAAGCUCCAGACAGCCGAAAAGGGACACCACCAGCCCUAGAAAACCUAAACUAGGCACUUCCUUCCUGGGACAUCAGAAGUUGAUCCUGCCACGUCCACUGGAGAGGCAAAAAGGAGUCCAAAAGUCCUUGAGGCUACCUCUUACCGCCCCACCCCCAGCUCAGACAAGCCUGUGACCCAGAAGCGAGCAUCUCAUCUCUCCUUGAUUAGACUUUCCAGAGACUGCACUCCCAGCUCUUGUGUCCACCCAAGAAGAAACCAAGGCCAGGACAUUGGCUCCCCAGUCUAUAAAUAGAGGUUUGGACCCAGGACGCUGGGAGUUUUGCCCAGAAACCUCUAAGACACCCAAGGAUUCAGCAAACAUCCAAGAUAUGGAGGACAGACACUAGAUGUGAAUUCUUAUGCAGUGAAUUAAACAAUAUGUUAUUACAC